rfam:Camelus ferus unplaced genomic scaffold scaffold165, whole genome shotgun sequence.
GAGGGUAUAGCUCAGUGGUAGAAUGUGUACUUGGUAUGCACAAGGUCCUGGGUUCAAUUCCCAGUACAUCCA